GCACAAUGGGCGCAAGCCUGAUGCAGCAACGCCGCGUGCGGGACGAAGGCCUUCGGGUCGUAAACCGCUUUUCUGGGGAAAGAGCAAGGACGGUACCUCAGGAAUAAGCCUCGGCUAACUACGUGCCAGCAGCCGCGGUAAAACGUAGGAGGCGAGCGUUAUCCGGAUUUACUGGGCGUAAAGCGCACGCAGGCGGCUCUGUGAGGCGGACGUGAAAGCUCCCGGCUUAACCGGGAGAGGCCGUUCGAGACUGCGGGGCUUGAGGUAGGGAGAGGGAUGCGGAAUACCCGGUGUAGUGGUGGAAAGCGUAGAUAUCGGGAGGAACACCUGUGGCGAAAGCGGCAUUCUG
rnacentral:rRNA from 1 species